ensembl:snRNA U6 U6 spliceosomal RNA
GUGCUCGCUUCAGCAGCACAUAUACUAAAAGUGGAACAAUACAGAGAAGAUUAAUCUUGCAUGGCCCCUGCACAAGGAUGACACACAAAUUUGUGAAGUGUUCCAUAUUCUU